rnacentral:sRNA from 1 species
GCUGGGCACUGUGGCGCAUGCCUGUAAUCACAGCAACUCCUGAGGCUGGGGCAGGAGGAUCUCAAGUUCAAACCCAGCACUUAGCAAAAGUGAGGCGCUAAGCAACUCAGUGAGACCCUGUCUUUA